GUGACGCCAUGAGGUAGGAAGCCCGGAAACUUCUCCGAUUGCACUUGGGUGCAGAUGCCCUGGGAAUUGCAAAGAAGGUUUUGGGACCCUUGGAUCUGGAGGAGCAUACGAUGUUAGCCAUCUGAAGCAGAGCAGUCUUGGUCCCUCUCCAUUAGGAAUCUAUAUCUAUGGAGUCUCACAGACUCACUUAUGGAAACCAGUAAGACAGUCUCCUUAAAAAGAAGGAAGGAGGAGGAGGAGGAGGAGGAGGAAGAAGAAGAAGAAGAAGAAGAAGAAGAAGGUCUUUU